GGAUGGUACAAAGAGUCGCAAACCCGCGAGGGCUAGCUAAUCUCAUAAAGCCAUUCUCAGUUCGGAUUGUAGNCUNCAACUCGCCUACAUGAANCCGGAAUCGCUAGUAAUCGCGGAUCAGCAUGCCGCGGUGAAUACGUUCCCGGGCCUUGUACACACCGCCCGUCACACCACGAGAGUUUGUAACACCCGAAGUCGGUGAGGUAACCGUAAGGAGCCANCCGCCUAAGGUGGGAUAGAUGAUUGGGGUGAAGUCGUAACAAGGUAGCC
rnacentral:rRNA from 1 species